GAUGAACGCUGGCGGCGUGCCUAAUACAUGCAAGUCGAGCGAACGGACGAGAAGCUUGCUUCUCUGAUGUUAGCGGCGGACGGGUGAGUAACACGUGGAUAACCUACCUAUAAGACUGGGAUAACUUCGGGAAACCGUAGCUAAUACCGGAUAAUAUUUUGAACCGCAUGGUUCAAAAGUGAAAGACGGUCUUGUUGUCACUUAUAGAUGGAUCCGCGCUGCAUUAGCUAGUUGGUAAGGUAACGGCUUACCAAGGCAACGAUGCAUAGCCGACCUGAGAGGGUGAUCGGCCACACUGGAACUGGGACACGGUCCAGACUCCUACGGGAGGCAGCAGUAGGGAAUCUUCCGCAAUGGGCGAAAGCCUGACGGAGCAACGCCGCGUGAGUGAUGAAGGUCUUCGGUUCGUAAAACUCUGUUAUUAGGGAAGAACAUAUGUGUAAGUAACUGUGCACAUCUUGACGGUACCUAAUCAGAAAGCCACGGCUAACUACGUG
rnacentral:rRNA from 1 species